rnacentral:rRNA from 1 species
AGAGCGAACGCUGGCGGCAGGCCUAACACAUGCAAGUCGAGCGCCCGUAGCAAUACGGGAGCGGCAGACGGGAUAGUAACACGUGGGAACGCGCCCUUCGGUUCGGAAUAACUCAGGGAAACUUGAGCUAAUACCGAAUACGCCCUUACGGGGAAAGAUUUAUUGCCGAAGGAACGGCCCGCGCCCGAUUAGCUAGUUGGUGAGGUAAUGGCUCACCAAGGCUACGAUCGGUAGCUGGUCUGAGAGGAUGACCAGCAUCACUGGGACUGAGACACGGCCCAGACUCCUACGGGAGGCAGCAGUGGGGAAUAUUGGACAAUGGGCGCAAGCCUGAUCCAGCCAUGCCGCGUGGAUGAUGAAGGCCUUAGGGUUGUAAAGUCCUUUUAACGGGGAAGAUAAUGACGGUACCGUAGAAUAAGCCCGGCUAACUUCGCGCCAGCAGCCGC